AGUUUCAGUGCUCUGCUGAAUAAAGAGGUGCCUUUGUACGGCAGUACCUCCGAUGUCUGGCUUUGGCCCCUUUGUGUGCAUGCAGCUCCUGCCAGCCUCUCCCACCUCCCCCUUCCCCCGGGUUUUUGGGAACCUGAGUGGGAUCUUGAUGCAAAAGGGAACUGAGCAACUCAUUAAAGAAGAAAUAUUCUGUACUCUGACAUCCUUAUGCACAUCCCACUUGUAAGAAACCAAUGCAAUGUAAACGAUGAGGAAUUUGCAAUUCAGCCCAUCUAGACCCAACAUGAGCAUCUCUUCCUAUUGCACAGAAAUAUGGAACAUAAAUAACAAACAGAAUUGCAGAUAAACUGGAAUGUCAGAUGACUUUAAGUGGUGCAAAAAAUUACGAGGUUCUGAAUCAGUUUAAGAUUUGAAAUUAAGACAGUAAUUUUCUGGAGUCCCAUCUGGCAGAUAAUUGUUCCCUAUUAAGUAGCAAUUUGGAAAGAAAUGCAGGGGGAAAAGUCAGAUUGAAAUAUUUAGAAACAUAUUUCUCAAGCAUUUAAAGCUCUCUUUGAAGUCUUUGGGAAAUCUAUCAAAUACAUGGGUUCUUUUAGGACAGUAACAGUUCAACAACAAUUGCAUAGAAAAUUAAGACAUUGAGAAAAUGAGAAUCGAUCCUUUAUAAAUACUAACCUUACUCCAAAAGGUGUUGCAUAUUUGGUCAGACAAAAAGCAUAGUCACUUUUUUGUAAAGAUAUGGAUUACAAAAUAUACUUUAAAAACAUGCUAGCUACUCUGAGAACUGGUUUAGAUACGUUAUUAAGCAGCAGCUUUUUAUACAAUAGAGAAUAACAUAGUGCUGGUUUGGGAAAUAUUCUACAUUCAGAAAAUGCUGUAUUCCUACAAGGAGCAUGGAAGUGAUACAUAUUUACAUGGAUACAAAUAAAGCAAGUGCAAAAACCAUGACUCUUCUACAUUCUUUCUACCAUAAAAACACAUACAUGAGACACUUUCACUCCAUUGUUGUUGCUCAGAUCUUACAUUCUGCUCAUUCUCAUGGAGAAAAACAAAAACAGGACUUCAUAUUUCAUUGCAAGUAUUUUCACGAGCAAUUCCCCUCCUGGCAAACUCGACUUCCAACACUCAUAACUGACAAAAAAAAAAUAAUCUUCCUGAUAUCUGUCCACUCCCAGUCCACUCUCAGACUGUUUACAUAUCAUGAAUGAUGAUUUUUAUUGUACGUAUAUUUGAUGCAGAAGUUUAUAGAAGCUCAUCCUGU